CUCAUUUCUGUACAUGGGGCGACUGCUGGAAGGUUUUGGUGUUGGUAUUAUUUCCUACACGGCACAGUGGUAGAUACUAAAAUAUGUCACCCAACCGAUUUUGAUUUCUUUCUAUGCAGUCAUGCUGGUAUUCAGGGAACCAGCAGACCAGCUCAUUACCAUGUUCUCUGGGACGAUAACAAAUUCUCAGCUGAUGAGAUACAAUCUCUAACGAACAAUCUCUGUUAUACGUAAGCAGACCCCCCAACUAAUAUUAGAAGCAAGGGAAACACUAGAAGAUUCUGGGCAGCAACUAUUUUUUUUUUUUGUUGGGUGUCAAGAGAAACCGUUAGAUGGAAUACAUUGUUGUAGAUAUUUCAAGCUUUUGUAUUGUAAGAUUUAUGAAGGUACUGCCUUUAUGUAUUUAGUCUUAUUGAUUUGA